rnacentral:rRNA from 1 species
GAUGAACGCUGGCGGCGUGCCUAAUACAUGCAAGUCGAGCGAACAGAUGAGGAGCUUGCUCCUCUGACGUUAGCGGCGGACGGGUGAGUAACACGUGGUUAACCUACCUAUAAGACUGGGAUAACUUCGGGAAACCGGAGCUAAUACCGGAUAAUAUAUUGAACCGCAUGGUUCAAUAGUGAAAGACGGUUUUGCUGUCACUUAUAGAUGGAUCCGCGCCGCAUUAGCUAGUUGGUAAGGUAACGGCUUACCAAGGCAACGAUGCGUAGCCGACCUGAGAGGGUGAUGGGCCACACUGGAGCUGAGACACGGUCCAGACGCCUACGGGAGGCAGCAGUAGGGAAUCUGCCGGGAUGGGCUAAAGCCUGACGGAGCAACGCCGCGAGAGUGAUGAAGGUCUGCGGAUCGUAAAACGCUGGUAUUGGGGAAGAACAAAUGUGUAAGUAACUAUGCACGUCUUGACGGUACCUAAGCAGAAAGCCACGGCUAACUACGUG